rnacentral:lncRNA from 1 species
UGAACUGGAAAACUUGGGGAGUAGACCUUUUCCCCACCCUUGGAAUGCUGAGCACCUUAAGCAUUACUAUCAGUGAACUAGAAAAGUCCAUGACAUGUAAAACCCGCUUGUAAUGUCAAUCACAUCAAUAAAAGGGACUCCCUAUUUUGACCAUUCUAUUCAGCAUUUCACCAGAAUUCUCAAAAAGUCUUGCUUCUCACGCAGGCCGAUCUAAGGUCGUAUGUGCUAUGACACUUAGUGAAAAUUCCUCCUUAGGAAUUUUCAAAAGCCCUACUCUUCACACAGGCCGAUCUAAGGUUGUAAAUACUGCAACACUUAGUGGAAAUUCCUCUUUAGGAAUUCUCAAAAGCCCUGCUCCUCACGCAGGUCGAUCUAAGGUUGUAAGUGCUGCAACACUUGGUAGAAAUUCCUCCUUAGGAAUUCUCAAAAGUCCUGCUCCUCACGCAGGCCGAUCUAAGGUUAUAAGUGUUGCAACACUUAGUGGAAAUUCCUCAUUGGGAAUUUUCAAAAGCCCUGCUCCUCACGUAGGCCGACCUAAGGUCAUAUGUGCUACGACACUUAUUGAAAAUUCCUCCUAAGGAAUUAUCCAAAGUACUGCCACAUGCGCAGGCAGGAAUAAUCUCAGAAAUCACUAAGGUAGCUCAUAAUAUUGAUAAGCAAGCAUAUUAAAAUGAACUUACUGCCAAAAUAAAAUGCACCAUACUAAAUCAAAAGUGAAGUUGAUCUGCAAACGUAAUAAAUACAAACCAAGUCUUAUAAAAAUAAAGAUAAAAGGAAUCUAGGCUUCUGGGGGAUCCUAAGGAACAGGGGUCGUCUCUGGUGUAUCCUCCUCAACUGGGGACACCCAAACUCCAGCCACUUCGGAUAGCCUCCGAAGCUCCUCCUUCUACUCCGCCAAAGCAUCCUCCAAGAAGGUUGCAUCAAAAUCCGACCUCUCCUUUUGGAUAUGUUUCACCAACUCUUCUAACACCACGACAUAGGCAUCCUAGGCUAAAGCAUCAAAUUCGGGGGACUCCCUCCAAGUCUCCACCGCUUUGGUGGCGUUAGCCUUAGCCUCGUUUGCCCUCAUGGCGGCCUCUCUGGCCCUUUCAUUUGCCUCCUGCAUCUUCUAGAUUACCUCCACAACCUUGGCUCACUUCUUCUCAAAUCUUAUUUUCCCCUCUUCAGCCCGACCUCUGGCCUCCUCCUCCGAGGGCCUCAGAGCUCUAAUCUCUUUCAUAAACCUCUCUUCUUGAUCGAGCCUGGAGUUUAGCUAGUUUCUCAUCUGGUUAAUUUUUUCUUCAUACUCCUUCUCCUUCAGAGCGAACUGAGCCUUCUCAGCCUCCAUACUCUGGUAAAGGUUGAAAGCUUAAUCCUUAGCCUCCAUCAACUUAUCCAGCUCGAACUUCACCUAUUUUCCAAAAACAUCAAAAAGUCUCUAAAUCAAUAAAAUUGUCAAAAUAAAAAAAAAUCAUAAAGCACAGCACAAACCAAGAAUACUUUAGCUGCAACGACCAUCAUGUACAAGAUGGAUCGGUGACCGUGGAGCUGUGCAGUGACUAAGGCCUCGCCAAUGGGCAUCUUAUCUAGAUAACCCCGCUCUUUCUCACCCCAGCUCCUGGUGAGCAAGUUUGCUG